ACUUCCUGCCGGGGCGUUUCCGGAAUAACAGUGGCUCUGCGAGUCCAAGAAAAGUUAAAGGCUCACGUUGAAUAUAAAUCUCUGGGAUUCCUGCUGAUAGUCCAGUGGUUAAUUUUACUGCGUCGAUAUCCAAGCCAACUAUUGUUAUGAUAAUCCCCUAUGUCUUAGAGCUUGAAACAGGGUAAGUACUCAACAAAUAUUUGCUAAAUGAAUCUGUUGAAUAUUUCCUCUUUGCCAAGUUUUAGAAGCUUUUGGAUUCCUUGGACUCUGACUGAAUAUAAGUGGGCUUCGGAGUCAAACUCAGAAAUGGCUGCAUAACUGAAGACCCCUUUAAGUUCAUGGUGUCUGAUGGAAGGAUGAGAGGGGUUGGUGCUGUUUGCUUCCUGGUUUCAGUGACUUUGCACCAAACUGAUGUUUUUGCUUGUUUGGGGUUUUAUGUUUGUUUGUUUGUUUGUUCUUGGUCUUCCGAAAUUUUUUCUCUUAAAUCCUGCUGCACUUCUCUCUUGUGCAUUUGUUGCAUUUUUAAAAAAUUGUGUUAGCAGUUGGAGUCAUGCAGGAAAGACCUGACCCUUCUCUGAAUUUUUUUUUUUAACUUUCUUUUGGUGCCUUUGGCAACAGGGCCAGAAAGUGUCACGGGGGGAAUAGCUUUGAGCAUCACUCCUUUAUGGCAGAAAAUCAUCUUAGCUCUAUUGUUACCAGCUCAAUCCAGUUUGGGCACCACAGUAUUAUGUUCCUAAUCAUGCAGGAGCCUGUGAAUUCAAUUAAAAUCUGGUGUGACUUCCUGAAACCACCAGUUAGUAUGACUGCAUUCCUUUAACUCAAUUGGGCAGGAUGGCACAUGUCCUAAAACUUGCCAGAGUCUCUUAUUAGCAUCUAUUUCUUACUACCCAGAGUUCAAGAAACUCUCUGGUGGUUAUUUUUUCUGCAGCCCCUCGACUCCCCCUGUGUGUGUGUGUGUUUUUUUUUUUUCAGCAUCCUGGGUAUGGAGCAGGUUUGGGUUUGAAUGUCACGGUUUUGAGCAAAUUUGAAAAUAAGUGGGUUUGUAGGAGUCAGAGUGAGAAGGGUAGCUGGUCGCAUAAGAGGAGUGAGAAGUUAACGGACUGUGGGAGGGAUGAGUCACAGCUGCUUGGAGCUCCAGAAACAGCUCAGCCCAGCCAGCUGCAGGCACUUGCCUCAGCCUUUCAGCAAGUGACUCUCCCGACCCCCAAAUGGCUGGGAUAGGAAUGAGUCGGAGGUCCUGAGGAGGAAACUCCAUGUUUGCAAACUGUACCAAGAUCUCAGUUCCCCUCAGGGGCAGUCUUUGAAAGCUGGUCAUCAGCCUGGGCUCACAGGAGUGACCUGAAGGAGGGCACUGCCCAGGUGACAGAGGCUGGAAUCCACACAAUCUCGCUUUUCUUUUCUUUGCAUAGAUUUAAGCUGAAGGAUCUACUGCUGUUGCUGUAUUCAAAACUAGGACAUCCCUAAUGCUUCAUCAUUUUUCUCAGUUCUGACAAAAAGCUCACAUGUACAUUUAUGCACCACACCCUUAUAUGUGUUGGGAGGGAAAAGCUGGUAAUAAAAACAAGGG
rnacentral:lncRNA from 1 species